rnacentral:rRNA from 1 species
GACGAACGCUGGCGGCGUGCUUAACACAUGCAAGUCGAACGGUAAGGCCCUUCGGGGUACACGAGUGGCGAACGGGUGAGUAACACGUGGGUGAUCUGCCCUGCACUUCGGGAUAAGCCUGGGAAACUGGGUCUAAUACCGGAUAGGACUCCUGCCUGCAUGGGUGGGGGUGGAAAGCUUUUGCGGUGUGGGAUGGGCCCGCGGCCUAUCAGCUUGUUGGUGGGGUGAUGGCCUACCAAGGCGACGACGGGUAGCCGGCCUGAGAGGGUGACCGGCCACACUGGGACUGAGAUACGGCCCAGACUCCUACGGGAGGCAGCGGUGGGGAAUAUUGCACGAUGGGCGCAAGCCUGAUGCAGCGACGCCGCGUGAGGGAUGACGGCCUUCGGGUUGUAAACCUCUUUCAGCACAGACGAAGCGCAAGUGACGGUAUGUGCAGAAGAAGGACCGGCCAACUACGUGCCAGCCGCCGCAGUAA